UCGAGUGGGUCCACUUCGGUCAAACAAAAAUGUGCCCGGGGCGCAUGAAUUUUUGCCCCGCUCGCGGCGGGUAGGGGGGAUGGGGAACGAAAUCCUGCCCCGCGCUCGCCCGCCUCGAAGUGCUCUGUUUCUUGACGGCAGCACAAAUCCACCAUGGUCGUCCUCGCGAAGCCGCCGGCGCUCGACCAAAUCUCGCUAGUGAGGUCCCCGGAGCCCGGGGGCAGCUCCCCGCUCCCCGGCCUGCCGGCCGUCGACCUCUCGGGGCCCGGCGCGGCCCUAGCCGUCGUGGACGCGUGCGAGUGGUUCGGGUUCUUCAAGGUCGUCAACCACGGCGUGCCGGCCGGCGUCGCGAAUAGGCUGGAGGCCGAGGCCGUCGCGCGCAGGCGGACCAGGACGCUUCCGGCCCCGCCGACCCGCUGGGUAGGGCCGCCGCCGCCCGCGGUGGAGCACCCGUACCCCCGACGCCCACGGCUAUCAAUCGUCCUGGGACUGAGCCGCUCGCCGCAUCCGUCGUGUGAUCCUUGCGGCCGCACCCGUGGUCGCCCCGGCGGCGGCUGGCCGCAGAUGUUCCUGGGGCUGGGAGCGCCGACAUAUCUUGUCAGUUCUUUUCCCUCGUACCGGAACCACAUUGGCGCUCCCUUUCCUCUCUCCAAGAUCAUGCUGCCCCCUCCCGUGGUCCUUUGCAAUCUCUCCUUGAUCUGUCUACGAAAUCUUUCCGCGGCGAUGGAGUGUUUGUUGGUGUGCAACAGUCUUUGAAUCAAUCGUUCAACAGGCCGGAGCCAUUGGUUCAGAUAGAUACAUUUGAUGGCGGCAGGGUCAUUGGUGAUGGCAGUGGUGAUGAUGAAGAAACGGACUGCAGCCAUGAAAUUCGUGGAGAACACAAUGGUGUUGAAACAUCUAUUCCUGUCGCUGAGUCAGCAAAUGACGAGGAAUUCAUGAUGGGACAUGUACCGGAUUUCGAUCAGACGCGUGGGCAAAUUCGCCUGACUGAAAACAUGACUGAGGAUAUUCUUCAGAGCGAACCUGUGGAGUUCGAGCUUGUUCAGACGUCUCUUGGCGAUUGUGGUUGUGUGUCAACAGGCGUGGGCUAUAGGAAAAGUGGGGAGGAUCGCUUUUAGGGGUCAAGGAUGUGAUCCGGUACUUGCGGGAGAACAAUAUCUCGCUAAGCAGAGUUCACUGCAUAAUGGGCAGCAUGUUUGGGAGCAUGGAGGCUGUUCCAUUCAAUCAGGAGUCACUGCGCGCCGUGUGUGCUGAGAUUGCUAGAGACCACAAGGACGAUGAUGUGAUGAAGACUCUUGAGGUGUUCAGGGAGAUGCGAGCCGAAGAUCCUGGGUUUCAGUUCAGUGUUGACCUGGACGAGGAGAAAAAGAUUAAGACCUUGUUGUGGACAAGUGGACGGUGUAGGGCACAGUACUCUUUUUUUGGCGACGCUAUCACUUUUGACAGCACUUACUGCACUAACCUGUACAAAAUGCCGUUUGCCAUUACGGUACCUUUCCACCAUAUUAUAUGAUCUCGUCGGUAGUACUGGUGUGACCUUUUCCUGAGGAACUGUUCAACCCUGUUUUUUAUUUUGUUAGAUGCAAACAACUUUCUAUUCGGUGUAACGUGAUGGACAUGAUCAAAUAUUCCUAAUGAUGAGUGCUGUUUGGACAUUAUGUACCUGCUGGGAGAAAGUAACAGGUCCUGAUACACUUUGGUGCAAGUAAGAUCCCUGAAGCGCUGGACUCGUCAAGCAAAGGAUUUUGAGCAGCCACACGGUGUCAGUUCUAGUUCAAUCGACAACCAGCUAGAACAGAACCUGCUACAUGCGAGCACCCUUGAAUUUGUUCAAUCAACUGAUCCAGAGGCAUCUGAGAUCCUUCUGAAGCACCGCAGUAUGGCCAGGAGGGAAAUUCAGCAGCUAACAGACAAGCGACACAAAGAACCCCCGUGAUUCAGGGUCAGAUUGUAACACCUCAAACAAGACUUCCUUGCUGGGGGGUAUGAAAGCGAUUUCGGCAUCGGCACUGAUGCUGCCAGUGGGGAUGUAUUCAUUGUGUUCAAACAAACAUAAACAUUUUUCUGGAUA